AUGUUGACCAAUGCGUUUGGCGCACCGCGUUAACUGGAGCUGAAGGGGGAGGGGAGGGGGGCAGCGAGUGUUGAAGGGCCGAUGGGGUAAACAAACGCGUCGUCGUUGUGAAAGAAAGAAAGAGAGUGAAAAGAAUGAAUAGGCCGGGGAGUGGUAGGAUGUGGUAAAGAGAGAAGAGGGAGAAGUGACGAUGGGUGUGUUGAAGAAGGAUAGAGCAGAGGAAGGCAAAGUGGGUAAAAAGGAAAUAGAGUAGAGAAAUGAAUAGAGAUAGAGGGGAUAAAACGGAGGAGGAUAGGACAGAGGAGAAUGGGAUAGGAUAGGAUAGUGUAGAGGAGGAUGGAGUAGCUUAGGAUAGAAUAGUGUAGUGUAAAGUAGAGUAGAGUAGAGUAGAGAAGAGAAAGAAAGGUAAGAGAGAGAGAGAGAGAGACAAGAGAAAAAACAAAAGAUAAAUGGACCGAUAAAGAUAAAUAUAGAAAGAAAGAUAAUAUAAAUGGAUAAAUAUGGAUGAAACAAAAAUAAAAAAAAAGGUUAAAACAAAAGAGAAUAGAAUAGAGAAAAGGUAAAAGUUAGAGGCAACAAGGGUAGGUAACAAGGAACGAGGUGACAAGAAAUGGAAAAGUGAGAGAGAGAAAAGAAGUAGCGAAAGAGAGUGAGUGAUAUUGUGAAGAAGUGAGUUGUGAGUGAAACGGGAUAUGAGUGUAGUAAGAAUGAAGAAAAGAAAGAUGAAAUGAGUUCAGAAGAAAUUAGAUGAAUUCAGAAGAAAUGAUUGUAAACGAGUUUAAGAAAAUGCCGACGCUGACUAUGAAUGAGUAUUAGAUACUUGCAACAAUUUUAUCAGUUUAUUCGGAAGAUGAAGAGGAUCGAGUGAAUACGGAAAUAUCUAUCUUUGGCAAUACGGGAAUGGAGCACCAAAUGGAACACGGGAGUGUAACGGGCAUGGCAUGGCAUAGCAUAGCAUAACAUUGCAUGGCACAUGGCAUGGCGAUGUACUGAUAAUAGCUAGAAAUGCUAGAGUAGCGACGAGAAGAGAGAAAAAAGAGCGACA